GAGUUUGAUCCUGGCUCAGGACGAACGCUGGCGGCGUGCCUAACACAUGCAAGUCGAACGGGCUCCAUCUUGUGGCAACACUUGAGAAGAGCUAGUGGCGAACGGGUGAGUAACACGUGAAGAACCUGCCCCGAAGACCGGGAUAAGCCGAGGAAACUUGGUCUAAUACCGGAUACCCCCAUCAGAUCGCAUGUUCAGGUGAGGAAAUGGAUUCCGCUUCGGGAGGGCUUCGCGGCCUAUCAGCUAGUUGGUGAGGUAACGGCUCACCAAGGCAUCGACGGGUAGCUGGUCUGAGAGGACGAUCAGCCACACUGGGACUGAGACACGGCCCAGACUCCUACGGGAGGCAGCAGUGGGGAAUCUUGCGCAAUGGGGGAAACCCUGACGCAGCAACGCCGCGUGCGGGACGAAGGCUUUCGGGUCGUAAACCGCUUUCAGGAGGGAAGAAAAUGACGGUACCUCCAGAAGAAGCCCCGGCCAACUACGUGCCAGCAGCCGCGGUAACACGUAGGGGGCGAGCGUUGUCCGGAUUUAUUGGGCGUAAAGAGCUCGUAGGCGGCUUGGUAAGUCGGGUGUGAAACCUCCAGGCUCAACCUGGAGACGCCACUCGAGACUGCCAUGGCUAGAGUCCGGUAGGGGAGCGUGGAAUUCCUGGUGUAGCGGUGAAAUGCGCAGAUAUCAGGAGGAACUGCAUACGAGACGCCGGUAGUGUGCAACGUAUACGACGCUGAGGAGCGAAAUAUCUAAGAGCGAUCAGGAUUAGAUCUUUCGGUAGUCCGCGUCAUAAACGUUGCACAGUAGGUCUGGGUCGUACUCAGCUCGAUCCGAUAUGUAGGCAACGCAUUAAUACACCAGGAAGGGGAGUACGGCCGCAAGGCUAAUACUCAAAGCAAUCGAGAGGGGCGUGCACAAGCUGCGGAGCAUGUUUUCACAUUCGAGGCAACAAGAAGAACCGAGCUGGGUUUGACCAAUAGGGAAAAGCCACAGAGAUGUGGUGUCCUUUUGGGUGGUACACAGCAGGUACAUGGCCGUGGUCAGUUCGGUGGUGAGAUCAUGGGUUAAGUUCCGCAACGAGCGCAAGCCUUGAAAUAUUUCGUCAGCCAGUAAUGGCGGGGACUUCUAGGAGUCUGCCGGGGUCCAAUCGGAGGAAGGUGGGGAUGAGGUCAAGUUAUCAUGCGCGUUUCAUUCACAGUGGCAAACAUGGUCCAAUCAGCGAUACAGAGGGUUGAUAAGCCGCGGGGCCGAUCGAUUCCCACAAAGUCGAUAUCACUUGGGAUCCGAGUGAACAACUAUCCAUCUCGAAGCCGGAGCCGGUGGUAAGACGGGAUCAUCAGCUCCGGGGUGAAUACGUUUCCGGUUAUUUGUACUCUUCGGGGCACACACCACGAAAGUCGUCAACCGUUGAACUCAAUGUCCCAACCAUUGUGGGAGCGAGAUGGAGAAGGUGGGGUUGGCAUGUGGGGGGAAGUCGUAACAAGGUAGCCGUUCCGGAAGGUGCGGCUGGAUCACCUCCUUUCU
rnacentral:rRNA from 1 species